AAAUUGAAGAGUUUGAUCAUGGCUCAGAUUGAACGCUGGCGGCAGGCCUAACACAUGCAAGUCGAGCGGUAGCACAGAAGAGCUUGCUCUUUGGGUGACGAGCGGCGGACGGGUGAGUAAUGUCUGGGAAACUGCCUGAUGGAGGGGGAUAACUACUGGAAACGGUAGCUAAUACCGCAUAACCUCGCAAGAGCAAAGAGGGGGACCUUCGGGCCUCUCGCCAUCAGAUGUGCCCAGAUGGGAUUAGCUAGUAGGUGAGGUAAUGGCUCACCUAGGCGACGAUCCCUAGCUGGUCUGAGAGGAUGACCAGCCACACUGGAACUGAGACACGGUCCAGACUCCUACGGGAGGCAGCAGUGGGGAAUAUUGCACAAUGGGCGCAAGCCUGAUGCAGCCAUGCCGCGUGUGUGAAGAAGGCCUUCGGGUUGUAAAGCACUUUCAGCGGGGAGGAAGGCGGUGAGGUUAAUAACCUCAUCGAUUGACGUUACCCGCAGAAGAAGCACCGGCUAACUCCGUGCCAGCAGCCGCGGUAAUACGGAGGGUGCAAGCGUUAAUCGGAAUGACUGGGCGUAAAGCGCACGCAGGCGGUCUGUUAAGUUGGAUGUGAAAUCCCCGGGCUUAACCUGGGAACUGCAUUCAAAACUGACAGGCUAGAGUCUUGUAGAGGGGGGUAGAAUUCCAGGUGUAGCGGUGAAAUGCGUAGAGAUCUGGAGGAAUACCGGUGGCGAAGGCGGCCCCCUGGACAAAGACUGACGCUCAGGUGCGAAAGCGUGGGGAGCAAACAGGAUUAGAUACCCUGGUAGUCCACGCUGUAAACGAUGUCGAUUUGGAGGUUGUGCCCUUGAGGCGUGGCUUCCGGAGCUAACGCGUUAAAUCGACCGCCUGGGGAGUACGGCCGCAAGGUUAAAACUCAAAUGAAUUGACGGGGGCCCGCACAAGCGGUGGAGCAUGUGGUUUAAUUCGAUGCAACGCGAAGAACCUUACCUACUCUUGACAUCCAGAGAAUUUGCUAGAGAUAGCUUAGUGCCUUCGGGAACUCUGAGACAGGUGCUGCAUGGCUGUCGUCAGCUCGUGUUGUGAAAUGUUGGGUUAAGUCCCGCAACGAGCGCAACCCUUAUCCUUUGUUGCCAGCGAUUCGGUCGGGAACUCAAAGGAGACUGCCGGUGAUAAACCGGAGGAAGGUGGGGAUGACGUCAAGUCAUCAUGGCCCUUACGAGUAGGGCUACACACGUGCUACAAUGGCGUAUACAAAGAGAAGCGACCUCGCGAGAGCAAGCGGACCUCAUAAAGUACGUCGUAGUCCGGAUUGGAGUCUGCAACUCGACUCCAUGAAGUCGGAAUCGCUAGUAAUCGUAGAUCAGAAUGCUACGGUGAAUACGUUCCCGGGCCUUGUACACACCGCCCGUCACACCAUGGGAGUGGGUUGCAAAAGAAGUAGGUAGCUUAACCUUCGGGAGGGCGCUUACCACUUUGUGAUUCAUGACUGGGGUGAAGUCGUAACAAGGUAACCGUAGGGGAACCUGCGGUUGGAUCACCUCCUUACCAAGAAG
rnacentral:rRNA from 1 species